UACGAAGGGUGCAAGCGUUACUCGGAAUUACUGGGCGUAAAGGGUGCGUAGGUGGUCGUUUAAGUCCGUUGUGAAAUCCCUGGGCUCAACCUGGGAAUGGCAGUGGAUACUGGACGGCUAGAAUGCGGUAGAGGGUAGUGGAAUUCCCGGUGUAGCAGUGAAAUGCGUAGAGAUCGGGAGGAACACCAGUGGCGAAGGCGGCUGCCUGGGGCUUUGCUGACGCUGAUGCGCGAAAGCGUGGGGAGCGAUCCGG
rnacentral:rRNA from 1 species